rnacentral:SRP_RNA from 1 species
GCUGGGCGUGGUGGCGGGUGCCUGUAAUCCCAGCUAUUCGGGAGGCUGAGGCGGGAGAAUUGCUUGAACCCAGGAGGCAGAGGUUGCAGUGAGCCGAGAUUAGGCCACUGCACUCCAUCCUGGGUGACAGAGCGAGACUCCAUCUCAA